rnacentral:rRNA from 1 species
UACGUAGGGGGCAAGCGUCGUCCGGAAUCAUUGGGCGUAAAGAGCGUGUAGGCGGCCCGGUAAGUCCGCUGUGAAAGUCCAGGGCUCAACCCCGGGCCUGCAGUGGAUACGGGCUGGCUAGAGGCAGGCAGGGGAGAACGGAAUUCCUGGUGUAGCGGUGAAAUGCGCAGAUAUCAGGAGGAACACCGGUGGCGAAGGCGGUUCUCUGGGCCUGUACUGACGCUGAGGAGCGAAAGCGUGGGGAGCGAACAGG